ensembl:lncRNA
AUGCAGAUAAGAGUUGUUUUUUUUCUUUUUCAUCCAGACUUCAUUAAAUACAUCAAAUUCCAGCGAGUCGACACACCUAGACGGAGCGACAGCAGCGUCUGCGCCCUGCAGACUCCCUCGAUGAGGCUUCGGCGUCGGCCCCUCGACGGGGGACAUGAGACGACAGAACGAAACGGCGCACAGGCAAUGGAGGUAGCAGCACAUCACUGGAUCACAGGACCAGCAAAGGACAUGGCCUCGCCUCCGUGACAGACAAAAACACCAGUGAACAAGCAACGUGACAGGCGUUUCAUGACAGUUGGACGGCGAGGACAACGGAACGGAACGACGCCCGAUCGCAUCGAAAUCAUCGGUUCAUCCGAAAUGACAAGAAAAAAAGAGCACGAAACAAAAGGUCUGGCGUGAGUUGAGCCUCGUGAUCAGACGAGGACCGUCGCGCUCACAUAGUGGGGGGUUUAAUUUCAUAAAGGCCACUGAGACAGCCGAGCUUGCCUGGUGUCUCCGACCCCAAUGCCCUGUUGCCCUUCCGCAUUUCUUGUAUUUUAUUUUUUUUUUUACUUUCCAUCCCCACGUACAAGUAUGCUACCACCUCUCUAUGAUAUUGCACUGAAUAAAGCCUUUGUGUUAGCAGCCAGCAUUACUUCGCAGAAUGCCUCGAGAACAGUGUAGUCUAUUUGAGAUUUUCCUCAAGGGAGCCCAGUGUCUGUUUCCUUGUAUUGACACUGAUACUCCAGAAAAUUGUAUGUUUUUUAUGUAUUUUUGGGGGCUGAGAAAAAGCCCUGUCGGAAAUGUAACUAGACGCUUUGCUUUCACAGCUACCCUGCUUGAAAUAAAUGUCAAUUUUCUUUGACUUGGUGGUAAAGAAAAGAGAGAAAUGUAUGUCAUGAAAAUCCUAGUUUUUUUUUUCUUUUUAAAUAUCUCUUGAUUCAAAAUACAUCACAGUAAUGUGUUUUUUGUGUCUGCAGCUGACCCCCUCGCUUGAUUUUGGCACUGCACUGUACAUAAUCUAGUUGAUUCGUUAGCGAUCACCCAACAUGAAUAAUUGUAUGACUGGUUAUAUUUAAAUAGGCCCACGCAGUCCGGGGGACACAGCUCGCAUCCUCUCUUGUCUGUUGUUG